UGGUGAUCACUUUUACCAACAAGGAAAGGCCACAUCCAAAUUCCAAACCAGAAGUUAUUACCUAAGAAUUCUGUAGGAUAGUGGUACACAUUUGGAGGCUCUGAGAAGUUCACAGACUUGCUAAAGUAAGAGGCCAUAUGUUCCAGAUGCAGCAGGUGGUAGAGUGUCUACUGGCUUGGGUCUUGAUGGAUGAAGCUCCUGCAAACUCACAGUGGACAGAUAGUUGGAAUAAGAAGCCUUUCUGGAGAAGAUUGGCCACUGUUAUUUGUUGACAUACCACAAAUUUAGCCUACCCUGAUUACUACUACUACUACUACA